GGCAGGUUGCCCGAGUGGCCAAAGGGAGCGGUCUGUAAAACCGCCGGCUCAGCCUUCGUAGGUUCGAACCCUACACCUGCCA
rnacentral:tRNA from 1 species